CCCGCCGCCAUGAUGGGCUGCGUCAUGUGACGUAAAGCGGAGGCGGGAUGCCGUGACCGACACCUGGAUCAGCCAAUCGUCAAUCCAUACUGACUCCGGGAGCCCCGCCCCCUCAGCCAUAGGCGGCAAGGUGAAGAUCCGUGCGCCCUCUGGAGACAGAGGAAUGAGGCGUGGGCAGCAGAUGCUCUUCCUUUCAUUCGUCAAGACACACCUGGAAUAUGACUUCAUCGAUGGCUUCUCCACAAUCCCACAAAUAACUGAGCAUCCAUAGCCCUGCCCCAGCCUAGCCCUGUCAUGUUUUAUUGUUCCUGUGACUGUAAACCCCUUGAGGACAGCACCCCUGUCUGAGUCACCUUGGAGCUCCUGCUGGGCUUAACAUGAAAAUAUUUUCAUCACCCACAAAAGAAAUCCUGGAGCCGGUGAGAUGGCUCGGCAGUUAAGAGGCACUUGCUGCUGAGACUGACAACCUGAGUUCAAGCCCAGGACCCCCAGGAUAGAAGGAGAGAAUCAAUUCCCAAAGGUAGUCCUAUGGCCACCAACAGAGCACCACACCACUGGGUGUGCAUGCGCACUCACACACAAAUAAAUAAAGUAAUAAGAGAAA